UACGUAGGGUGCAAGCGUUGUCCGGAAUUAUUGGGCGUAAAGAGCUCGUAGGCGGUGUGUCACGUCGGCCGUGAAAACCUGCAGCUUAACUGUGGGCUUGCGGUCGAUACGGGCAUCACUGGAGUUCGGCAGGGGAGACUGGAAUUCCUGGUGUAGCGGUGAAAUGCGCAGAUAUCAGGAGGAACACCGGUGGCGAAGGCGGGUCUCUGGGGCCGAUACUGACGUGAGGAGCGAAAAGCGUGGGGGAGCGAACAGG
rnacentral:rRNA from 1 species